ACUAACCGAUUCAGCCUCGGGGCGUUAACGAUGUCGCGUUAAUCGACGCCUACGAUAAUCCGUCGGAACAUGUUCGCGGAAUAACUGGUUUCGUUGAUCGCUCGUCGGACGCGCUUAUCUUCCUGGAUAUCCGAGCAUCGAUCGAUCGCGCGCGACGAUUAUGUGGGUCUAGGUCGAGCCCCGUUGUCGCUUCGAAAAAUGUUCCCCCACCAUGCCGGCGUUAGUACGCGGUAUAUACCGGUCGAUCGGGAAUUCUCCUCGCGAUCGUGUUGCAUUCUGAAAAUUCCAUCGCGACGACAUCAAUCUUCGCGGCAACAAAAAAAAAGAAGCGGGAAUAGAGACGCGUAGUAUUACAGGAAACGCUCGCGGGCCGCAUUUCUUUCCCGAUUAAGGUCGAAUACAUUAGCUAUAUCGUCGAUACGAAAAAACAACAACAACAACCGGACGAACAUUUUCUAAUCGGAUACCGAUUGCCCCUCCCCCCCCCUCCCCGCCCCGUGUUCCAGGACACGGUAAAUCUGUCCUCGUUUCGAGGUUAUUUCAUCGGAUCUGUCAGCUGGCUUCUUUUCAGUAACACGGCGGAAUGAACUCGUGUCUUUGAAGCCACGGUUUCAACGACGAAAGGGUCCUCUUAUAUUAGGGUCCGCAGUCUAGUCACAAAGGACCGGUCUGAUCCUGACAGGCGAGAACAAAAACCAUUCUUCUUUCACGGUACAAUGACUCUGCUUUUUGACAAAUAAUAAAUAGCAACGGGAGUAACAACAAUUGUUCGAUGCGACGUGAUAACAAGGAUAUUGUCUCGUGCGAUGAAUCGGGAUCGGGCCGACAGUGUUAACAACGACAACGUUAAAAAAAUAUAGCGAAGUAUCUUCGAUUGCUGUACUCGUCGCGGUACCUAGACCUGGCCUGCGACUCCUGCCGAUACCGGAAGAGGGGUCUGAAGAUGAUGUCCUCGGCGACGUCCAUGUCGCCGGCCGCCCUCGGAUAUUCAUCGUGAUCCGGGAAUAACGGCGCGACGAUGCCCCAUCUUGGCACCGCGACAGGCGCCAGGAACAGCUCCUCGUUCAACAGAUUCGAGGAUCCGUCCGGCAACAGCGACACCGGCAUCGUUUCCUGCGUCGACGGCACGAUCGCGAUCUGAAAAAUGCCGGAACUCUUUUAAAAAGUAUCCGCGUUCCCUUGGUAUUCGCGCGCGUCGCCGGAAUUCAUCGUCGGAUGGAGGAACGGUGAAGAAAAAAGAAGCGGCUGCUUUGCUGGUUACAUUUUAUUAGAACCACCUUGUAUGUGUGUGUGUAUACAGCUUGACGGUUUCUCUCUCUCGCCAGAAGAAAGUAACUUCUAUUUAUACCGCGAGGAUGUCAUAGACGCGAAAUAAAUUAAUAUACGCGAACA